rnacentral:tRNA from 3 species
GGGAGUGUAGCUCAAUGGAAUAGAGCUUCGAGCUUCUACCUCGAAAGUUGUGGGUUCGAGUCCUACCACUCCCGCCU